GACCGUCUUCGCGAUCUGAACCUUUGGUACCUACAAGGAGGGUGUCUCACCGAACGGUAGCUAAGACCUCACCAGGACCGCGCGGAAGCGAGGAGUCGCGGCCAAAGGCGCCCGCCGGAGCCUCGUCUCUGGGCCGGACCCCAACCCGAGCGGCCGAAAGGAACCCCCCGCCCGGAUCACAGUGACAAAAUGAUACCAUCAUUUUUAUGUGACUCAUAUGCAAAAUGAAAUACAUUAAUCUCUGAGAUCUGCUGAUGGGAAAUAAGAUCAGAUAUUUCACUUCUAACUCUAUCAAGCAAAAGAAAAAUCAGUUGUGAUUCCAAGAAGAGAUGAACUCUUGAGCACAGGCUCUGGACACGCAGGCUCAGCAGCCAUGGCUCACGGGCCCAGCCGCUCCACAGCAUGUGGGAUCUUCCCGGACCGGGGCACGAACCCAUGUCCUCUGCAUCGGCAGGCGGACUCUCAACCACUGCGCCACCAGGGAAGCCCCAAGACUGUUUUAAUGGCUACUGUAUUUAACUUCAUUUGCCUAUAUUCCUAGUAAUGUUAUAGUCAACGACAAACAGUAACUGUAGAAAUGGUUCCAUUAUAUCUUAAUUUUACACAGUCACAUUUAAAAAAUAGGUCAGCAGUUUUAUAAGCACUCAACUCUACAUAUGUGUUUUUCAUAGCUAGUUAUUUUCUUUUUGAAUGUUAUUUAUGGUUUUAUACAGCAGGUUCUUAUUAGUUAUCUAUUUUAUACAUAUUAGUGUAUACAUGUCAAUCCCAAUCUCCCAAUUCAUCCCCCCCACCCCCCCACCACUUUCCCCCCUUUGUGUCCAUACGUUUGUUCUCUACAUCUGUGUUUCUAUUUCUGCCCUGCAAACCAGUUCAUCUGUACUAUUUUUCUAGGUUCCACAUAUAUGCAUUAAUAUAUGAUAUUUGUUUUUCUCUUUCUGACUUCACUCUGUAUGACAGUCUCUAGCUCCAUCCACAUCUCUACAAAUGACCCAAUUUCAUUCCUUUUUAUGGCUGAGUAAUAUUCCAUUGUAUAUAUGUACCAUAUCUUCUUUAUCCAUUCAUCUGUCGAUGGACACUUAGGUUGCUUCCAUGACCUGCCUAUUGCAAAUAGUGCUUCAAUGAACAUUGGGGUUCAUGUGUAUUUUUGAAUUAUGGUUUUCUCUGGGUAUAUGCCCAGUAGUGGGAUUGCUGGGUCAUAUGGUAAUUCUAUUUUUAUUUUUUUAAAGCUAGUUGUUUUUUGAAGACUUUUUACUAGGCAUUAUAGAAUGCCUGAAUAACAGGGAUAAAGUAAAUGUCCAUUUAAGUGUGAUUUAGAGUUUUUGAAAAGGAGAAUGUAGUCAAAAGCAGUUCUUUUAAUGAACUUAAACAUAGAAAUGAUUGUUUAAAAGCCACACUGAUGAAUUCUUUAUAACACUGAUCCUGAAGUAACACAAGAAGCUACAAUAACAUCAUACAUACCACAUAUGUAGAGAAGUCACAUUAGAAAAUUUCUAGAGGCUAAGUCAUUUCUUCCUUUCUAAUCUUGAGCUUCAAACCAAAGCUACUUUUGACUGCAACUCCAUCUCUAUGUACACACAGAUAAAAGAAUAAGUGGUAUUAUCAGGCAAUAAACAUUGUUUUAAAGUUAUAAUCAUAGUAAUUCCAUGAUCAGAUGUCACUUCUUCCUUGUUGAUGUUAUACUAAAGAUAUUAUAUCAUUCUUUCAUUUAACAGAUAUUUAUUGGGGUCCUCUUAUUACAUAAAAAGUAACUAAACCUUGCCUAGCUAAACCUUAUUUAAUCUAAAUUCAGUGUCAGAUUCUUGUCAUAAUAAGGAUGACUACAUAUACUAGUUUUUUUUUAUUGUUGUAUAAGAAAUUACAUUUAAGUAGUGGCUGAAAACAACAGACAUUUGUUAUCUAAAAAUUUCUGUGGAUCAGGAGUCUGAACACAGAUUAGCUGUGUUCUCUGAAAGAAUGAGGUCAAGGCUUUCUUCAGGAUUGGGCUCUCAUCUGAAUACUCAACCAGGGAAGAAUCCCUUUGCAAAUUCACUUAGGUUCUGUCACUGCCAUAAUUCAUUUCCUUGUGGUUGUAGGACUGAGGGCCUCAUUUUCUUGCUGGCUGUCAGGUUAUUGGCUGCAAGCUCCUCUCAGUUCCUAGAAUCUACUCCAAGUUUCUUAUCACAUGAGUCUCCCAACAUCACUGCUUGCUUCAUCAAAAUCAGCAAGAGCAAAAGAGAUUCCUGCAAAAUGGGAGCUAUGAUCUUAUGAGCAUAAUCACAUACAUGCAAUUAUGUAUAUUCCUUUGCCUUUGUUGUAUUUUAUUGGUUAAAAGCAAGUCACAUGUCUCAUCUAUACUCAAGGAAAGGAAGUCACAGGAGGCCAUGGACAUCAGGAGGUAGGGGUGAUAGGAGACACUUUAAGAGUCUGUCUGCCAUACUGUGUAAAAUUAACAAUCUAGGUAGGAGCAAUUCAUUUGAAAAUAAAUACAUGAACAAAAAUAAAAACAGUAGGUGUAGUUCAAAUAUUCUUGCCUGUAAAUUAGGAAAUUUGGCCUACUGUAUGGCUUUCAGUAACCUGAGACACCUCUUUGGACCCAAACGGGAUUGAGUUCAUAUCUGAAAAUUGGACUAGAAUGAUUGCUAAAAUCCUUUUCAGCUUUAGACUUCUACAAGGCCUAGAAUAUUUGGAAUGCAUAGAAUUAUUCAAUGAACUAUAUGUUUUACUUUUUUAACCCAGAUAUUUAUUCAGAAGUUUAAGUCUUCUUAAUAGUUUACAACGAAAAGGCCAAAUCUGUCAGGAUUUCAAUUUAAUUUAAAUGCAUUUUGAAUGUCUACUCUAAACAGGUCAUGGAACUUAGUAAAAUUAAUGAUUAAGAAGGUAGGUUCUAGGGACUUCCCUGGCGGUCCAGUGGUUGGGAAUCUGCCUUCCAAUGUAGGGAACACGGGUUUGAUCCCUGGUCGGGGAACUAAGAUCCCACUUGCCACGGGGCAACUGAGUGCAGGCACCACAACUAGAGAGCCCAUGCACCACAACGAAAGAUCCUGCAUGCCGCAACUAAGACCUAACGCAACCCUUAAUUAAUUAAUUAAUUAAUUAAUUAAUAAAAGAAAGUAAGUUCUAGAGUUAGAUGCUUGAGUUCAAAUCCCAGGCUCUUCCUCUCAUCAGCUGAGUGACAUUGGGCAAAAUAUUUAAUCUCUCUUCAUUGAUAACAUGAAAUGACAAUAAUACCUAGCUUUUAAGAUUGCUGCCUCACAAAUAUUAAUUAUUUAAAUAUUAGCUGUUGUAGAUUUUAUUAUCAUUACAAUAUAAUACAUCAUUUAUAUUAGGCAAGGGAAAUACAUGCAAGGUGAAUAAUAAAGUUUCUCUGCCUUGAAGGAACUCAUAGAAAUGGUGCUUUGUUGAAAUAUUUUCCCUUCUAGGUAGAAUAUGUCAUUAUAAAAAUGUUUUAUCUCUCAUGAGAUUUAUCAGU